GAAUAUUGCACAAUGGGCGAAAGCCUGAUGCAGCCAUGCCGCGUGGGUGAAGAAGGCCUUAGGGUUGUAAACCCCUUUCAGCGGGGAAGAUAAUGACUGUACCCGCAGAAGAAGUCCCGGCUAACUCCGUGCCAGCAGCCGCGGUAAUACGGAGGGGACUAGCGUUGUUCGGAAUUACUGGGCGUAAAGCGCGCGUAGGCGGAUUUGCAAGUCGGGGGUGAAAGCCCGAGGCUCAACCUCGGAACUGCCUUCGAUACUGCAAAUCUCGAGUCCGAGAGAGGUGAGUGGAAUUCCUAGUGUAGAGGUGAAAUUCGUAGAUAUUAGGAAGAACACCAGUGGCGAAGGCGGCUCACUGGCUCGGUACUGACGCUGAGGCGCGAAAGCGUGGGGAGCAAACAGG
rnacentral:rRNA from 1 species